AUUCGCUACCUCUCUCUCUCCCUCCCGCGCCCCCCUCCCUGGAUCCCUGCCCCGCCACCGCCGUCGCCGCUCGCCCGCGCACCCGUCGCGCCUGCUCGUGGUGCAGCCACGCCUCCGCCGUGGCGCUUGCCUCCCGUGCACACGGCAGGUGCUCCGCCUCUUCCUCCCAUCCGGCCAGAUCCGCGGCGCACGGUCUCUCGCGCUCGCUCGCAACCCUCAGCCGUGGCUUGGGUUUCGGGCUGGGCAUCGCCUUCGUCGACGGCGCGGCUCCGGUGGACUCCGGCGGCUCCUCUCCGUCUCCUUCCUCGCCCCCACACGCGGCUCCACUUCCCGCUGGCCAUGGGGCUGGCCGGCAGCAGCACCUCCCUCCCUCCCUCCCUGCCGCGGCCGGUCCCGCCGCACGGAGCAGCGCCGCCGACGGGUCCAUAGGCAGGUUGCAGGAAUAGCUUUAUAUUAGGAGCAGCUUCUCCACCACCACUUAGCGGUAGAGGAGGUGUGCUUCUUCCCCAACACAACAUAGCGGCAGCCACGGUAUCCUCGGCCCUCUCCCUCUAUCUACCCUCUUCUGUUCCUUACCGAAAAAUCAUUUUUUUACCUUGUAUAAUACUUGUGAUUUGGACCGAUUUGUGUUUUGGGGGGCAUCAAUUUGGUGCUUCCCCUGUCCAUGUGCUGCAGAGAAAAGGAGAAGAAGGGGAUGGAUGAGCAAGGAGCAGAAGGACCUGAAGAAGAAGGGCAAGGGAGGUGGGGCGAUAUGCAUGUCCAGGGAGGUCCGUCCCCCUCUCCUCCUCUUAUCUUUCCUUGUACUGCAGCAGCCCUUAAUCACCAUAACCACAUUAAUGGCCAAGCACGAGGUCUCCGCCGGACGCCCCCCCCCCCGGUGUGCGUCCAGGUCGUUGUUGCUUCUGGUGUUCUGCGUUCAAAGGGAUCAAGAUGGUGCCUUUCUUUGGGUCUGCAUUUCGUCCACUACUUCUCCCACCCAGCAGGGUAUGGUGGACGACCAGUUCCGGCAGCUACAGUCGCUGCAGGAGGAUGGCGGCAGCGCGUCGGGCUUCGUCGCCGAGGUCGCCACCCUCUUAAUCGACGACGCCGACCGGAUCAUCAACGACAUCGGCAGCCUGCUGGAUGCCGGCGGAACCUAGCCACCACUCCCCGCCGCGCCCCUCGUUAGUUACUUGUCGUGCUCGAUUUUUCCUUCCACGGACGAUUCUGUCAUUCGCCUCUACUGCCGGUGGUCAUGCCAGUCAUGCUCCUACUGGAUUCUUUUUAGAGGGCUUGCCUUGGACUUCCUUGAUCCUGAUUGUUGUUUCGCGUAUCUGCUUUGGGCCAUUGCUGUUCUUCUACCACUCAUACAUAUAUUAUUUGACCAUUUGCUUUGCUAAGGUUCAAGUAUGAUGUAAUUUAGAUUUGUUCUCUUCAAACUUGCACCAAUCAAUAUUUCUAGCUCUUAGCAUUGUCUAAUAUACAAUUUUAUUGUAUGCAGGACAUGCAUCCUUUAGCUAAAUUCAUCUUUGUUUGAUGUAGUUCUUUGUGAUCUGAAAGCAACUGACUACUCAAUACCAAUCAGUGCAUGGAGGGAACUCCUGUCCACCACGCCGGCGACAGGAACAUGGAAAACGCAGUCCACGGUGCCACCAAUGAACAAGGCCGAGACAAGCAUUGUAAGGAUCCCAGUUAGAAUGAUGCUUGAUCUCGUGUUAGAGCAUCUUGGGCUUCACAAGGCCAUCUGAGACUCGGGCUCAAUGAGAACACAAUGAGUGUCAUCGUUCUCUCUGACACUGCUGUUCAAGACGACCGGACCUGUCCACCGCGCAUGCCCAUUACUGGUGUUCAGUCCUCCAACGACAAUAUCUACCGUGUAUGAACAUUGCAUCCUUUAAUUUACCCUGUAUAUGAACAUUCCAUUCUUCAAAUGUGUUGUACUUUCGUUCUGGUGGCUAUGGAGAUGUGUUGUACUGUACUUUUGGUAUCCAUUGAUGAUGUCUUGCUCCGAUUACACUUGAAUGUUUCUUUUUUUUAUCCUGAUUGAA